UGGGGAAUUGUUCGCAAUGGGCGCAAGCCUGACGACGCAACGCCGCGUGGAGGAUGAAGACCUUCGGGUCGUAAACUCCUUUCGAUCGAGACGAAUGGCCUCCGGGUGAACAAUCCGGAGGAGUGACGGUACCGAGAGAAGAAGCCCCGGCCAACUACGUGCCAGCAGCCGCGGUAAGACGUAGGGGGCGAGCGUUGUCCGGAUUUAUUGGGCGUAAAGAGCUCGUAGGCGGUUGCGUAAGUCGGAUGUGAAAACUCAGGGCUCAACCCUGAGACGCCAUCCGAUACUGCGCUGACUUGAAUCCAGUAGGGGAGUGCGGAAUUCCUGGUAUAGCGGUGAAAUGCGCAGAUAUCAGGAGGAACACCCAUGGCGAAGGCAGCACUCUGGGCUGGUAUUGACGCUGAGGAGCGAAAGCAUGGGUAGCGAACAGGAUUAGAUACCCAUGUAGUCCCUGAGCGGGCUGGCAAGGCGCAU
rnacentral:rRNA from 1 species